GGGGAUGUAGCUCAGCUGGGAGAGCGCGUGCUUUGCAAGCACGAUGUCGCAGGUUCGAUCCCUGUCAUCUCCA
rnacentral:tRNA from 2 species